rnacentral:ncRNA from 3 species
UUGCGGGCAACUGCAAAUCUGAAAGAAGCCAUCAGCAAAACUGAGGUUCUGACGCACAGAAAUCUGAUAUAAGGCUCAUUUGGGAGGGCAACCGAGCAAUGGAUUGGGAACGCCCAAACUUCAACCGUAACUCUUAUGAGUAAAUCAGGCAGAACGCAGUGAAAGUUUAAUAU